AAUAUUACUACCCCCACAAACCCCACACAAGUAACAAACAAAGCAUUUUCCCCUUUUAGUAUAGGCGAUAGAAAAAAAUCCAAGCGCAAUAGACAAAGUACCGCAAGGGAAAGCUGAAAGAGAAAUGAAACAACCCAGUUAAGAAAAGAGAAGCAAAGAUGUAACCUUGUACCUUUUGCAUCAUGGGUUAGCCAGUCAACCCAAGCAAAGAGCCCUUUAGUUUGUCCCCCCGAAACUAGGUGAGCUACUCCAAGACAGCCUAAAAUUAGGGCGAACCCGUCUCUGUGGCAAAAGAGUGGGAAGAGCUUCGAGUAGCGGUGACAGACCUAUCGAACCUAGUUAUAGCUGGUUACCCGAGAAAUGGAUACAAGUUCAGCCUCUUGGCCCCUCCCCUCACCCUGUCCCAACUCCCUCAGACCACUGAGUGGCCAAAAGAGUUAUUCAAGGGGGGUACAGCCCUCUUGAACAAAGAUACAACUUUUAUAGGAGAAUAAAGAUCAAAAUGACUAAGGAAGCCUCGUGUCUCCGUGGGCUUAAAAGCAGCCACCUCCCCAGAGUGCGUUAAAGCUCGGGCACUACCACAACUUCUUAAAUCCUGAUAACCUUAUCUUAAUCCCUAUUCAUAUCGGGUCAUCCCAUGCCCCCCCCCCAUGGGAGUGACCAUGCUAACAUGAGUAAUAAGAGAGCUAAGACUCUCUCCCCGCACAAGUGUAUCUCGGAACGAACCCCCACCGACUAUUAACGGACCCAACCAAAGAGGGAAGUAGACCAUGAAAAAGACAACAAGAAAAUCAUCAACCUAACGCCCCGUUACCCCCACACUGGUGUGCACAAAAGGGAAAGACUGAAGAAAAGAGAAGGAACUCGGCAAACACCCCAAGCCUCGCCUGUUUACCAAAAACAUCGCCUCUUGCAAAAUCAAUGAAUAAGAGGUAUUGCCUGCCCGGUGACUAAGUUUAACGGCCGCGGUAUCUUGACCGUGCGAAGGUAGCGCAAUCACUUGUCUUUUAAAUGGAGACCCGUAUGAAUGGCACGACGAGGGCUUAACUGUCUCCUCUUUUUAGUCAAUGAAAUUGAUCUCUCCGUGCAGAAGCGGAGCUAGAGCCAUAAGACGAGAAGACCCUAUGGAGCUUUAGACACCAAAGCAGACCACGUAAACACCCCCAAAAUAAUGAGUUGAACACAAUGUCACCUGCCCUAUUGUCUUCGGUUGGGGCGACCGCGGGGAAACACCUAACCCCCACGUGGAACGGGCCCACCCUUCCCUAAACCCAGAGCGCCAGCUCUAAGUAACAGACCCUCUGACCUUAAGAUCCGGCUAAGCCGAUCAACGGACCAAGUUACCCUAGGGAUAACAGCGCAAUCCCCUUUUAGAGUCCAUAUCGCCAAGGGGGUUUACGACCUCGAUGUUGGAUCAGGACAUCCUAAUGGUGCAGCCGCUAUUAAGGGUUCGUUUGUUCAACGAUUAAAGUCCUACGUGAUCUGAGUUCAGACCGGAGUAAUCCAGGUCAGUUUCUAUCUAUGCCGUGUUCUUUUCUAGUACGAAAGGACCGAAAAGAAGAGCCCCCUGCCACAUGUAUGUCUCACCUUUAUCUACUGAAAUCAACUAAAAAAGGUAACAAAGCACUCUCCCCGCAGCCUUAGACUACGGUAU
rnacentral:rRNA from 1 species